UGGGGAAUAUUGCGCAAUGGGGGGAACCCUGACGCAGCAACGCCGCGUGAAGGAAGACGGUUUUCGGAUUGUAAACUUCUUUGACCGGGGACGAUAAUGACGGUACCCGGAAAACAAGCCACGGCUAACUACGUGCCAGCAGCCGCGGUAAUACGUAGGUGGCGAGCGUUGUCCGGAAUUACUGGGUGUAAAGGGUGAGUAGGCGGAAUGGCAAGUCAGAUGUGAAAUAUCGGGGCUUAACCCCGGGGCUGCAUUUGAAACUGCUGUUCUUGAGUGAUGGAGAGGCAGGCGGAAUUCCUAGUGUAGCGGUGAAAUGCGUAGAUAUUAGGAGGAACACCAGUGGCGAAGGCGGCCUGCUGGACAUUAACUGACGCUGAGGCACGAAAGCGUGGGGAGCAAACA
rnacentral:rRNA from 1 species